UCGGGUGAGGCAAGCGUUGUUCGGAAUCACUGGGCUUAAAGUGCGUGUAGGCGGCUCGGUAAGUACCUUGUGAAAUCCCUUCUCUCAAUGAAGGAACCGCUUGGUAUACUGCCGGGCUGGAGGCAGGUAGGGGUCACUGGAACUCUAGGUGGAGCGGUGAAAUGCGUAGAUAUCUAGAGGAACGCCCGUGGCGAAAGCGGGUGACUGGGCCUGUCCUGACGCUGAGACGCGAAAGCGUGGGUAGCAAACGGGA
rnacentral:rRNA from 1 species